rnacentral:misc_RNA from 1 species
UCGGCGCGGAUGAGCACAAAUGCGCUACGAACGGCGCCGAAAGCGGAUUGGAUUUCCAGACGUAUUAAAACAAUAAUUUAUAACGCGCGGGGUUAUAGUGUAAUACAGAACGCGGCACAAAUGCCGCUUGCAAAUUAUAUACGUACGUGAUCAAAUAAUUAAGUGAAUUAUUAUUGACAAGAAAACAAGAGCGACAGUGUAUGUAUAUCGAUAGUGUAUACGACAAGUGGUAUUAUCGUGAUUGGUGUGUAGUAGGAAACAACGCAGAGGACAUCGAGAAAGAGCUGGACCAAACCUUGUAGAUUUUUACAUCUAUCUCUUUCUUUAUUUCUCUCUUUCUCUCUCUCUCUCUCUCUCUCUACUUUAUUAACGUCAUUGAACCGACUGGGUCGGAACUCGUACCCGGGUCUUCCGCAUUCCGGUCGACUGUUUUCAUCUUUCAGCAAUCCAGGGCCUUCCAUAUUACGAAGUUCUAAAAAUCCAAAUCUCAAAAAUGGGUUGCGCCUCACAGUGUGCCAAGUACUUUUUGUGCUUUUUCAACUUUGUCUUUUUUGUCGCUGGCGGAGCAGCAUUGACCGUUGGUAUCUGGUUGUUUGCCGACAGGAGCUCCUUCACGAACAUCAUCGCAACACUCGAUCAGUCCGAUAUUUUGACAAAAACGGAUACCGAUGUUAUAAGAAUGAUGUCCUACAUCCUAAUCAUUGCCGGUGCCCUUACGUUCAUUGUUAGCUUUUUAGGGUAUUGCGGUGCAAUGUUCGAAUCUAGAUGUCUUCUCUGUGUCUAUGGCGUCCUUCUUUUAUUGGUUUUGGUCCUGGAAUGUGUGGUGGUUGGCCUUGCGUUUGGACUAAAAGGAGACGCGGAAAAAGGUACACAAAGUUUCUUGAAGUCGACAAUCAAGUAUUACGCAGCAAGUGUGGAUCAGACCGAAACCGUGACAGUUGCGUGGGAUGGUAUUAUGAGCCAGCUUCAUUGUUGCGGUGUUGAAAGUUAUUUGGAUUUUCACGAAAGUACAAAUUGGACGACAACCAACAAAGUGGUACCAGAAGCUUGUUGCAUAAAACAAAAUGGUGAACUGCAGGAUCGCUUGUGUCCUCUCAUUCCUACGUCCACGAACUCUUAUUAUCAGAAGGGUUGUUACAAAGCGAUACUAACGAUGGUAGAAGAAAAUGCUGCAAUAGUUAUAGGAGUAGCAGCUGGUUUAGUCCUGAUCGAAGUCCUGGUUAUUAUAAUGGCCUUAUACCUGGCGUGUGUCUACUGGCGUCCGCAACAUGCUUGCGUAGAUGUGUCAUCGAGACAAGCCUGGUGAGAGAAGUGGUGAAAUGGGGAUGUGAUGGUUUGGUGGUGAAAUUUGGUUUCAAUGUUAACUUGUUGGUGCUGCUGCUGACGAGGCAUUAAGGGCAUGGAACUGUUGAGUAGUGCCUCCUAGCAAACGCACGUUGAGCCAUUAGAAGUCCUGUGCCUUGCUUGCUUGAAACGUUAGAUACUAGCCAGAUUUAGGCUAGUCAAAACGUCGGCCGACAGAAAUGAAUCCUGAUUGUAGAAUGACCACAGAUAUUCGUCAAAUCAAACUUGACAGUGAUGUAGGAGAUUUAUUAUAAUAUGUUAUUUUUUUAUAUGCAUCUAAGCAAAAUUAAAUUCCAGCUUUAUUUUGUAGUAGAAAUACAAAAAAGAAAAGUCAAAUAUCGAAGACAUAUGAUUUGUUGAGUUUAAUGUAAUUCGCUUUAGAGAUCUGUAUUGUAAAAUACAAAAAUGAUAUAUUAUUUUUUAAGAUAUUACACUCAAUCACACACACAUAUCUAUAAAAAUUGAUGUGUAUAAAUAUACACAUCAAAAAAAUUUUUUGUCCUCUCAGUUUUUUCUCGGUUUCUUUUUGAUUAAGAAACUCCUAUAUCACUGUAGAUUAUUAUCAUUUUAUGAUAUGUUGUUAAUUGUUUAAUAAUUAUUAGUAUACAAGCAUUUAAAAUCAUUUAUCAAAAAAUAUAAUAUAAUAACGAGUGAUCGCAGCAGUAUACUUCAGAUUUUGUACAUUUUAUAUUUGUGCUAUUUGAUAUAUCAUCAAUAUGCACAUGUAUUUUAAACUAUAAACUUUUUUCUUUAUCAGUUAAUAUUGUUUCUCAAGCAAACAAAUAAAAAAGUAAAACUUAAUUUAUGUACAUGAGGAUUUUAAGUGUAUGUAUCUAAAAUGUGUAGCCUUUAUUAUGUUGCUUUGCCUAUUUUGAGAUUAUUUCAAAUGUUUAUGUAUUAAAGGAAAAUGUUUAAGUGUACAGUAGUUCAGUUCAUUGCAUUUAGGCAAGUCUUAUCAUUUCAUCCAUACUAAUUUUUCACUUCUAACAGUUCGAACUCGCGUUUCCAACAAACAUACAAAAAUACAUAGUAAUAUUAAAAAAUUAUGGAAAACAUUAUAAUAUCUAUCUAUGUAGUGCUUAUGUCUCUAUAACUCCUGCCAAACUUUCAUUUAAAAAAAAAAA